rnacentral:rRNA from 1 species
UACGUAGGUGGCAAGCGUUAUCCGGAAUUAUUGGGCGUAAAGAGCGCGCAGGUGGUUGAUUAAGUCUGAUGUGAAAGCCCACGGCUUAACCGUGGAGGGUCAUUGGAAACUGGUCGACUUGAGUGCAGAAGAGGGAAGUGGAAUUCCAUGUGUAGCGGUGAAAUGCGUAGAGAUAUGGAGGAACACCAGUGGCGAAGGCGGCUUACUAUUCCAUUAUUGACGCUGAUGCACGAAAGCGUGGGGAGCAAACAGGAUUAGA